GGAGAGGUAGCCAAGUGGACGACGGCGACGGUCUUGAAAACCGUUGGGCCCUUGCGGGUCUCGUGAGUUCGAAUCUCACCCUCUCCG
rnacentral:tRNA from 2 species